AAUUCUAUAGUCAAUAUAAUGAUAUUAGAUUGCAAAUCUAAAGUAGUAUUUAAUACUGGAAUUU
rnacentral:tRNA from 2 species